CCUACGGGAGGCAGCAGUAGGGAAUUUUGCGCAAUGGCCGUAAGGCUGAACCAGCCAAGUCGCGUGAGGGAAGACUGCCCUAUGGGUUGUAAACCUCUUUUAUGCGGGGACAAAGGUGUCCACGUGUGGCUGUUUGCAGGUACCGCAUGAAUAAGGACUGGCCAAUUCCCUGCCCGCAGCCGCGGUAAUACGGAAGGUCCGGACGUUUUUCGGAUUUAUUGGGUUUAAAGGGAGCGUAGGCCGGUCUUUAAGCGUACCGUGAAAUUUUGUGGCCCAACCAUGGGACGGCGGCUCGAACUGGAGACCUUGAGUGCGCGGGAGGCAGGCGGAAUGCGUGGUGUAGCGGUGAAAUGCUUAGAUAUCACGAAGAACCCCGAUUGCGAAGGCAGCCUGCCGCAGCGUGACUGACGCUGAGGCACGAAAGCGCGGGGAUCGAACAGGAUUAGAUACCCCAGUAGUC
rnacentral:rRNA from 1 species